GACGAACGCUGGCGGCGUGCCUAAUACAUGCAAGUAGAACGCUGAAGCGAGGAGCUUGCUCUUCUUGGAUGAGUUGCGAACGGGUGAGUAACGCGUAGGUAACCUGCCUUGUAGCGGGGGAUAACUAUUGGAAACGAUAGCUAAUACCGCAUAACAAUGGAUGACACAUGUCAUUUAUUUGAAAGGGGCAAUUGCUCCACUACAAGAUGGACCUGCGUUGUAUUAGCUAAUAGGUGAGGUAAUGGCUCACCUAGGCGACGAUACAUAGCCGACCGGAGAGGGUGAUCGGCCACACUGGGACUGAGACACGGCCCAGACUCCUACGGGAGGCAGCAGUAGGGAAUCUGCGGCAAUGGGGGCAACCCUGACCGAGCAACGCCGCGUGAGUGAAGAAGGUUUUCGGAUCGUAAAGCUCUGUUGUAAGUCAAGAACGGGUGUGAGAGUGGAAAGUUCACACUGUGACGGUAGCUGACCAGAAAGGGACGGCUAACUACGUG
rnacentral:rRNA from 1 species